CAGCAGUCGCCGCGGUAAUACGAAGGGGGCUAGCGUUGCUCGGAAUUACUGGGCGUAAAGGGAGCGUAGGCGGAUCGUUUAGUCAGGGGUGAAAUCCCGGGGCUCAACCUCGGAACUGCCUUUGAUACUGGCGAUCUUGAGUAUGGGAGAGGUGUGUGGAACUCCGAGUGUAGAGGUGAAAUUCGUAGAUAUUCGGAAGAACACCAGUGGCGAAGGCGACACACUGGCCCAUUACUGACGCUGAGGCUCGAAAGCGUGGGGAGCAAACAGGAUUAGAUACCCCAGUAGUCCCUGUCUCUUAUAC
rnacentral:rRNA from 1 species